ensembl:lncRNA
AUUAGCCCGGUGGAAGAAGACUUAAAAGUGUUUUUGUCAGUUAAAUGGACUCCAAACGCCGGCAAACCCAAAACACAGCAGGUUUUGGGAGGAGGAGGCGCCCAGCGUCCUUUCCUCCUUGCCAUUAACCACCCGACUGAACUCGGACAAAAUUGGCAGCAGGUGAAGUGGGGAGGACUGUAAGUAGACACGUCGUAGCAACAGGGAACAAUUUGAGGCGCAUUUUGCACACCCGAGAGGAGCCGUCCGCCUUACUGAUGUGACACUGCCUGGAGGUGAGCGCACCGUAGAUGAAAGGCUACGACAACCAUUUCUGAUAAGCCUAAAACCUCGUGGUUCAUUAAAGUCUGAAAUGCAGUUGUAGCAGAAGUGCUAAGUCACAGCUGGCACCAGUGAUUGAGCACCCGGUGGGAAGGCAGGGCCAAUCCAGGGGAGCUCAGGUGCAUGCAAUGUACCUGAGUGGCAGGAAGGGGUGGAGCCAGGAUCCACCCCUUCCCAGGCCUCAUUUAAGGGCUGGCAGUGGAAGCGAGAGCAUCUCCCUCGAGAUCCCUGCGUACCUGGGGCUUUCUGAAGGCAAGCAGCUUCUUUCUUGUUUGUUUCUGUGCCUCUGGCUGUUGUAUUUGAGCAAGUCCUCAAUUGCUGUAGCCUGGGAGUUUGCUGCUCUGCUGUCAUUGCUGUGCUUUCCAUGGCAUUACAGUGUUAUACCAGUUACUGACACUUCAGCAGGCUGGUGUCAUCCGUAUAAAGAACAAAACAGGAAUGAUGUUGCAUUCAGACACACUUAUGCGUUUUGCUCUAUGGUUGACAGGUACAAACUGCAUUAAUUUGCUUUGUGCAGCUGUAAUGACCUAAGUAAGCACCACCUGCCUUCAUUUAGGCAUUAAUCAAAGUUCACGGAUGCUGUCCUGAGGAUUCCUUUCCUCUCCUUGAGCUCUGUAGAUGCUGGAUGGUGAGAUCCGGCUGCGUAUGACCCCGUAGAAAGGCUGCCUGCUCCAAAUGGCUGAGCUCAGCAGGAAAGCGUGGCUGUGCUAUGGCAAGUUGGUGCCCGCAGGGAUGUGGCAGUAGCUUCAAUUAGUUUGAGCUCUUAAAAAGAGUUGUGCUUACGUUUCUAUCUGUGCCAAUAGCAUACUGCUGAGGACUAAUGCUGUAUCUCUGAGAGAGAGAUCUGGGGAGACAGAUACCCAAAAUCCACUUGUUUGCUUUCUGUACCUUUUCUCUAGCACACCGUUGGCCUCGCGGGAGAACCGCAUCGCAUCUCUCGUCCGAGAAGAUAAGAUUUGUGCUCCCUAUCAGCGUCCCCCAGUUUCUGCAUGAAAACCAAGCGUGCAUCACAGCUGGCAAACAAGGCAAAAGAAGAUGCAUAAGGGUACCUGAAAUAAAGCAGCUUCGAGGGAGCAGAGGAUGAAGAGCAGAUCUCCAAGCAUUAGAGGGUGAGUGCCAGAUUUCUUUUCUCUGUACAUCAAACCUCAUGAGUUGCCUUGCUCUAAAGAAAGGCACGUAAUUGUUUACUCUACAGUUUACUCGAUAUUUAGUUAGAGUAGCUAUUUUAGUUAGAUAUUGUUAGUUACAUUAGCUGUUGAUGAAUAUUGACUUAGAUAUUGAUGAACAUAGUUUGCUUUCUUGAGAAGUUAAGUUCUUUCUGCAUGUGAAUGUUAAUGGAACAGAGGAGACUUUUGCUACUUUUAUUCAGGAGGAGUGGAAAGUUUAUUGGCACUGCAGGGGAAAGGCAGUUAAACAGUUUCUGCAAGCUGAUAAGGCAGAUACACUCACAAUGAUAUGAGAAGUUAAAGCCCUGCUUCUUUGUUUAGAGAAUAUCCACAAUCUCUUUUGAUAAAGUUACUCAGAGAUAGGCUCAAAGUAAAGGAAUAGGACACAGCAAAAGGUAAAGUCUGCAACAACAAGAAAUUGUUUGGAGUGACUUCUGUUUAGAAGCACUCGCUCCUGUAUCCUAGUUCUGCUAAAGAAUCUCAGUUUUCAUUUAUCCUAUUUGCUGUGACUAAGGCACACACAGAAAACUAUAUUUUAUUUCUUUAUACAUCUCUUACGAUAAGAUAAAGAGGCUCAGAAGCAUUUCUGUUUUGUACUUUUUGUUAAACUGAUUUACCAAUUUAGUUUUUGUUUCCUUUGAUAGAGCAAAGCAGCAAGCCUCCCCACUCAAGAGCAUUAUUUCAAGCUCCAGCUCCUGGAACAGAAUAGCAUUACCAUGCACCCAAAGGCCUCAAGCUGCUGGUAAGCUAUUGCUGGUGGCCAGAGAUGUUAGAUACUCACAAGCAUGUUCUCUUCUCCUGCAGACAUUUGAAAUCUACCACUUCUGUUUCCACCUCAAGCUUACCACAGACAGAAGGGGAACCACACCACUCUGAGCAGCAGCAGCUUAAAUCCUUGGUCUCGCACGGGGAGCCCCUACAAGAAGGAGGCAGCGCUUAAUAAGAUUAGCAAAUGUUUAAGUCUGAGCAAAUAAAGAUAGCAAGUUGUUUCUCAGCAAAAAACUAGCAGGUUCUGGCUGCUGACUAACAGUCAUUUCAAUAGCUCAGUGACCUCUUAGGUCACAAGCCAAGGUGCCUUUCAGGAUUUGACUUAUGUUUCAAAACCAAUUGAGUUUUCUCCUCAGGCAGAACACAGAACCCCACUAAGUCCCAACUCCUACCUUCCAGCCCAGGACAAAGAGCACCAUCACGGCUCAGGAGCCCCUCAACUCCAAG